rnacentral:rRNA from 1 species
UACGAAGGGGGCUAGCGUUGCUCGGAAUUACUGGGCGUAAAGGGCGCGUAGGCGGCUCAUUCAGUCAGAUGUGAAAUUCCUGGGCUUAACCUGGGGGCUGCAUUUGAUACGUGUGGGCUUGAGUGGGGAAGAGGGUCGUGGAAUUCCCAGUGUAGAGGUGAAAUUCGUAGAUAUUGGGAAGAACACCGGUGGCGAAGGCGGCGACCUGGUCCUUGACUGACGCUGAGGCGCGAAAGCGUGGGGAGCAAACAGG